rnacentral:rRNA from 1 species
AUGAGCAAAUUUGAAUAUGAGAAAUACCUAGAUGAAGAGAAUGAAGUGAAUAGGGAUGAUUUUGACAUUCUAAAAUGGUGGGAGAACAAUGCUACUAGAUUCCCAAUAUUGGCAAGAAUGGCCUGUGAUGUGUUGGCUAUUCCGGUACCAAUGGUUGCGUCUAAGUCGGCAUUUAGCACAAGUGGUCGCAUCUUAAAUGAAUUUAGAACCUCGCUUACACCAUUCAUGGUCCAAGCUCUUGUUUGUGCCCAAGAUCGGCUAAGGGGUUCUAUUACUAUCAACAUUGAAGAAGAUGAGGAGGAAUUAUUAAGAUUGGAAAAGGGUAACAUAUUGUGA